rnacentral:rRNA from 1 species
AGAGUUUGAUCCUGGCUCAGGAUGAACGCUAGCUACAGGCUUAACACAUGCAAGUCGAGGGGCAGCAUUCCGCUAGCAAUAGUGGAGAUGGCGACCGGCGCACGGGUGAGUAACGCGUAUCCAACCUGCCUUAUACUCUUGGAUAGCCUUCUGAAAGGGAGAUUAAUACAAGAUGGUAUCAUGAGUGAGCAUUUUCUCAUGAUUAAAGGUUUACCGGUAUAAGAUGGGGAUGCGUUCCAUUAGAUAGUAGGCGGGGUAACGGCCCACCUAGUCUUCGAUGGAUAGGGGUUCUGAGAGGAAGGUCCCCCACAUUGGAACUGAGACACGGUCCAAACUCCUACGGGAGGCAGCAGUGAGGAAUAUUGGUCAAUGGGCGGUAGCCUGAACCAGCCAAGUAGCGUGAAGGAUGAAGGUUCUAUGGAUUGUAAACUUCUUUUAUAAAGGAAUAAAGUGAGGCACGUGUGCCUUUUUGUAUGUACUUUAUGAAUAAGGAUCGGCUAACUCCGUGCCAGCAGCCGCGGUAAUACGGAGGAUCCGAGCGUUAUCCGGAUUUAUUGGGUUUAAAGGGAGCGUAGAUGGGUUGUUAAGUCAGUUGUGAAAGUUUGCGGCUCAACCGUAAAAUUGCAAUUGAUACUGGCGUCCUUGAGUACAGUUGAGGUGGGCGGAAUUCGUGGUGUAGCGGUGAAAUGCUUAGAUAUCACGAAGAACUCCUAUUGCGAAGGCAGCUCACUAAACUGCAACUGACAUUGAGGCUCGAAAGUGUGGGUAUCAAACAGGAUUAGAUACCCUGGUAGUCCACACGGUAAACGAUGAAUACUCGCUGUUUGCGAUAUACAGCAAGCGGCCAAGCGAAAGCAUUAAGUAUUCCACCUGGGGAGUACGCCGGCAACGGUGAAACUCAAAGGAAUUGACGGGGGC